UUAUACUAGUUAUUCAAGCAAUUAUUCUCUCUCAAAAAAUAUAAAGUGAAAGAAGCAAGUCCUCUUUACAUAUAUGGUGAAAUAAAGAUCCUCUUAGAAAAGUCAAUAAAAAAUAGAGUGGAAGAGUACUGGGUUGCUUUGGAAUAAGAAUAGAUUGUUUAUUUGGUGGGACGUUGAAUCAUCAAUUAUUAAGACUUAAUCUUAUUUUAUACUGCAUGGUGCUGAGACUGAGGCAUCUAGUCUUUCUACUAGUGUUCUUCCUUAAUUUUUUCCUCGUUUUUUUCACUCCCUAAUAUGAUUAUCAUAUGAUUCAUCUCCGCUCAGAUUCUGCUUUCACACUUUCUAGUAGAAUCAAAGCCAAUCAUGUAAGUAUGAUUCCCCCUCAAGGGAAACUAUACCUCAUGAACUUCUCUCCACCUCUGCAAAUGACAGCUACAACAAUAAAAUUCAUGAAUUGAUUAAGUUUGGCCAUGGCAUGAAGAAUGUGGCUAGUUUGAAGAGGAUUGAAGAAGGUUUAGCACGAGCACGAUCAUUUAUCCAGGAUGCAAUUCGAUCCAAGAACUACACAACCCCAUAAAACACGGUUUUGGGAAACUUGAAUCCACAUGCUUUUCACCGGUACUAUCUAUGAAAAAUACCAAAUUACAGACAUUGGUUAAUUUCACUGCAUCAGAAUGACUCCAAAAUAUAUCGCGUACAACAUCUUCAUCCUUUAAUCUAUGUUAAUGAAUAUACUGAUCUUGUUCAAGAAGUUUCAUUAAUUGUUGUAUUUCAGUAUUAUUGUCUCUUAUAGAAGAACGAUAUGCAUA